rnacentral:rRNA from 1 species
UACGGAGGGUGCAAACGUUGCUCGGAAUCAUUGGGCGUAAAGCGCACGUAGGCGGACCGCUAAGUCGGAUGUGAAAGCCUCGGCUUAACCGAGGAAGUGCAUUCGAAACUGACAGUCUUGAGUAUGGAAGAGGGUCGCGGAAUUCCCGGUGUAGAGGUGAAAUUCGUAGAUAUCGGGAGGAACACCAGUGGCGAAGGCGGCGACCUGGGC